rnacentral:rRNA from 1 species
GACGAACGCUGGCGGCGUGCUUAACACAUGCAAGUCGAACGAAGAGCGAUGGAAGCUUGCUUCUAUCAAUCUUAGUGGCGAACGGGUGAGUAACGCGUAAUCAACCUGCCCUUCAGAGGGGGACAACAGUUGGAAACGACUGCUAAUACCGCAUACGAUCUAAUCUCGGCAUCGAGGAUAGAUGAAAGGUGGCCUCUACAUGUAAGCUAGCACUGAAGGAGGGGAUUGCGUCUGAUUAGCAAGUUGGAGGGGUAACGGCGCACCAAGGCGAUGAUCAGUAGCCGGUCUGAGAGGAUGAACGGCCACAUUGGGACUGAGACACGGCCCAGACGCCUACGGGAGGCAGCAGUGGGGAAUCUUCCGCAAGGGACGAAAGUCUGACGGAGCAACGCCGCGUGAGUGAUGACGGCCUUCGGGUUGUAAAGCUCUGUUAAUCGGGACGAAAGGCCUUCUUGCGAAUAGUGAGAAGGAUUGACGGUACCGGAAUAGAAAGCCACGGCUAACUACGUG